AUUGAACGCUGGCGGCAGGCCUAACACAUGCAAGUCGAACGAGUGGCGGACGGGUGAGUAAUGUCUGGGAAACUGCCUGAUGGAGGGGGAUAACUACUGGGAACGGUAGCUAAUACCGCAUACCAUCGGAUGUGCCCAGAUGGGAUUAGCUUGUCGGUGGGGUAAAGGCUCACCUAGGCGACGAUCCCUAGCUGGUCUGAGAGGCUGACCAGCCAGACUGGAACUGAGACACGGUCCAGACGCCUACGGGAGGCAGCAGUGGGUAAUAUUGCACAAUGGGCGCAAGCCUGAUGCAGCCACGCCGCGUGUAUGAAGAGGGCCUUCGGGUUGUAAAGUACUUUCAGCGGGGAGGCGUUACCCGCAGAAGAAGCACCGGCUAACUCCGUGCCAGCAGCCGCGGUAAUAC
rnacentral:rRNA from 1 species